CCUACGGGAGACAGCAGUGGGGGAUAUUGCACAAUGGGGGGAAGCCUGAUGCAGCGACGCCGCGUGGGUGAAGGAGUGCUUCGGCAUGUAAAGUUCUAUUGGCAGGGAAGAAGCAAGACGGUACCUGAUUAAGAAGCCCCGGCUAACUACGUGCCAGCAGCCGCGGUAAUACGUAGGGGGCGAGCGUUGUCCGGAUUCACUGGGUGUAAAGGGAGCGUAGACGGCCAUGCAAGCCAGGGGUGAAAGCCCGGGGCUCAACCCCGGUACUGCCCUUGGAACUGUGCGGCUAGAGUGCGGGAGGGGCAAGCGGAAUUCCUGGUGUAGCGGUGAAAUGCGUAGAUAUCAGGAGGAACACCAGCGGCGAAGGCGGCCUGCUGGACCGCAACUGACGUUGAGGCUCGAAAGCGUGGGGAGCAAACAGGAUUAGAUACCCUAGUAGUC
rnacentral:rRNA from 1 species